ensembl:lncRNA
GACAACUUCCGUCGGCUGCUUGGGCCCACAGACAGGUAUCUGCUCUCUUGCCUUUGCUGUUGCUGUGGUCAGAGUUGUAGCUGGAGAUCCCAGGACAAAGCAGCUUUUCUUUUUCCCUGUCAAAGUCUGUUUGAGGUGAAAAGAACUCACUCACAACUUGAGACUCUCCUUUUUCUAGUGAGACGUGGAGAAGAAUAAGAGAGUUUUGUCUUCGAUGGUGGAGCCAGUAGAUCAAAGAAAAAAAAGGAAAAAAAAAAGAAAAGGAAAGAAAAGACGGGAAGAGGAAAAGGAAGGGAAAAGGGAAAAAAAGGGAAAAGGGAAAAAAAGGGAAAAGGGAAAAGGGAAAAGGGAAAAGGGAAAAGGGAAAGGAGGGGAAAGGAAGGGGAAAGGAAGGGGAAAGGAAAGGGAAAGGAAAGGGAAAGGAAAGGGAAAGGAGGGGAGGAGAGGAAAGGGAGAGGAGAGUGGACAUGAGGGGAGAGGAUGGGAGAAGAGGGGAAAGAAGGGAAGAGGAGAGGGAAAGGAGCUGGGAAAGGGGGGGAGGGAAGGAGGGGAAAGGGAAAUGGAAAUGAAAAAGGGAAUCAAAAAGGGAAAUUUGAGAGGAGAGGAGGGGAGGGGACAAGCAGGGGGAAUGGGUGAGGGGAGUGGGUGGGGAGAGGAAGGUAAGAAGGGAAGGGAGAAGGGAAGGAAAAAGUGAGGAAGGGAAGGGAAGAGGAAAGAGAGGAGAGAAGGGAAGUGGAGAGGGAAAGGGCAUGAAAAAGGGAAUGAAAAAGGGAAAUUUAAAAGGAGAGAAGAAGAAGAGAGGGAAGGGAGAUUGGGGGGAGGGGAAAGGGCAGAAGGAGAAAGGGGGGGAAGAAGGAAAGGGAGAAGGGAAGGAAAAGGAAGGGAAGUGGGGAGGGGAAGGGAAGGGAAGAGAAGGGAAGAGGGGAAUAGAAGAGAAGGGAAGGGAAGAAGAGAAGGGGAGAGGAGAAGGGAAGAGGAAAGAGAGGAGAGGAGAGAAGAGGAGAGGAGAGAAGACGAAGAGGGAGAGAGAAAGGAGAGGAGAGAAGAGGAAGAGGAAAGAAGAGGAAGAGGAGAGAAGAAGAGGAGAGAAGAGGAAGAAGAGAGAAGAAGAGGAGAGGAAGAGAAAAAGGAGAGGAGAGAAGAGGAAGAGGAAGAGGAAGAGGAAGAGGAAGAGGAAGAGGAAGAGGAAGAGGAAGAGGAGAGAAGAGGAGAGGAGAGAAGAGGAGAGAAGAGGAGAGAAGAGGAAGAGAAGAGAAAAGAUGAGCUUAAAAAUGUAUUAUUUAUUUAAAUAAAUUAAAUGCCAGAAUCCUGGCUAAGAUGUGAAAAGAGUUUCUUUUACCAAGUCUUCAUUUUAAUAGCUGCUAUCUCUUCUCCACACCAGUUACAGAAUCAUGGAAUCACCGAAUGUUGGGGAUUGGAAGGAACCUUGUAUGAUAAUCUAGUCCAAUCCCCCUACCUUAGCAGGAACACCUAGAUCAGGUCAUACAGGAUCGCAUCCACACAGGUUUUGAAUGUCUCCAGAGGAGGAGUCCCCCCAGCCUCUCUGGGCAGCCUGUUCCAGCGUUCUGUCGCCCCCACCAUAAAAAAGUUUUUUUCUCAUAUUUUUAUGGAACCUCCUGUGUUCCAGCUUGCAUCCAUUGCUCUUUGUCCUAUCACUGCAUGUCACUGAGAAGAGCCUGGCUCCGUCCUCCUGACACAUAUCCUUUACAUAUUUAUAAAUGUUAAUGAGGUCACCUCUCAGUCUCAUCCAAGCUGAAGAGACCCAGCUCCCUCAGCAUUUCCUCAUAAGGGAGAUGCUCCAGUCCCUUCAUCAUCUUUGUGGUUCUGCACUGGACUCUCUCAAGCAGUUCCCUGUCCUUCUUGUGAACAGAGGGGCCCAGAACUGGACACAAUACUCCAGUUGCAGCCUUCUUGGCCACAAGGGCACAGUGCUGGCUCAUGGUCAGCCCACUGUUCACCAGGACCCCCAGGUCCCUUUCCCCUACACUGCUCUCCA